rnacentral:rRNA from 1 species
GUCUACGGCCAUACCACCCUGAAUGCGCCUGAUCUUGUCUGAUCUCGGAAGCUAAGCAGGGUUGGACCUGGUUAGUACUUGGAUGGGAGAAAUGCAAGUUUCUGCUGUGAGCA